rnacentral:rRNA from 1 species
AUUGAACGCUGGCGGCAGGCCUAACACAUGCAAGUCGAGCGAGCGGCGGACGGGUGAGUAAUGUAUGGGAACUGCCCGAUAGAGGGGGCUUACUACUGGAAACGGUAGCUAAUACCGCAUACUAUUGGAUAACCCAUAUGGUAUUAGCUAGUUGGUGGGGUAAAGGCUCACAAAGGCAACGAACCGUAGCUGGUUUGAGAGGACGAACAGCCACACUGGGACUGAGACACGGCCCAGACUCCUACGGAGGCAGCAGUGGGGAAUUUUGGACAAUGGGGGAAACCCUGAUCAAGCAAGCCCGCGUGUAUGAUGAAGGCCUUCGGUUUGUAAAGUACUUUUGGCAGAGAAGCGGUAUCUGAAGAAUAGGCACCGGCUAACUACGUGCCAGCAGCCGCGGUAAUAC